UACGUAGGGUGCGAGCGUUAAUCGGAAUUACUGGGCGUAAAGCGUGCGCAGGCGGUUAUAUAAGACAGUUGUGAAAUCCCCGGGCUCAACCUGGGAACUGCAUCUGUGACUGUAUAGCUAGAGUACGGUAGAGGGGGAUGGAAUUCCGCGUGUAGCAGUGAAAUGCGUAGAGAUGUGGAGGAACACCGAUGGCGAAGGCAGCCCCCUGGGUUAACACUGACGCUCAGGCACGAAAGCGUGGGGAGCAAACAGG
rnacentral:rRNA from 1 species